UAAAAUGGCAAAGGGUGUAAAAAGUAGAAAAACACAAGAUGUGUUUUUCUACUUUUUACACCCUUUGCCAAA